AAUCUUUGCUGGAGGAGGUUAAGAAAGAAUUUGCUCUGGUUAUCCUUCGAGAAAAACAAGUUAAAUUAGCAAUGCAACUAUGGCUAGACUUUCUGUUGCAAAUUUUCUUAUUUUUUUUGUUUCUUUUCAUGUUUCUUGAGACUCCUUUUGUAAUACUUGCUCUUUUAUUUUAAUAUAUAUAAUCAGUAGGGAUUUACCCCUCCUGUUUCAAAAAAAAAUACUAACAACAGUUCAGGUUUGCAUGAAAAAUCAAAUUAUGCAUAUACUUGCGCGUGCAUGUACCUUUUACCAGUCAGCAGUUAAUGACCCAUUGGGAUUCAGUGAAAAAGCUUAGCCAUUCAUUGUCCCCCCC
rnacentral:lncRNA from 1 species